AUGAACGCUGGCGGCGUGCCUAAUACAUGCAAGUCGAGCGAGCGGACGAGAAGCUUGCUUCUCUGAUGUUAGCGGCGGACGGGUGAGUAACACGUGGAUAACCUACCUAUAAGACUGGGAUAACUUCGGGAAACCGUAGCUAAUACCGGAUAGUAUUUUGAACCGCAUGGUUCAAAAGUGAAAGACGGUCUUGCUGUCACUUAUAGAUGGAUCCGCGCUGCAUUAGCUAGUUGGUAAGGUAACGGCUUACCAAGGCAACGAUGCAUAGCCGACCUGAGAGGGUGAUCGGCCACACUGGAACUGAGACACGGUCCAGACUCCUACGGGAGGCAGCAGUAGGGAAUCUUCCGCAAUGGGCGAAAGCCUGACGGAGCAACGCCGCGUGAGUGAUGAAGGUCUUCGGAUCGUAAAACUCUGUUAUUAGGGAAGAACAUAUGUGUAAGUAACUGUGCACAUCUUGACGGUACCUAAUCAGAAAGCCACGGCUAACUACGUG
rnacentral:rRNA from 1 species